UUUAAAGUUAAAUGUAUCCCUACUUUUCUGUGUACUUUUCAGCUAGCAUCGGAGCUAGCCCAGACUAUGACAUAUUCUAAGCAAGGAUUGGGGAAAUCCAUCCAUCCAUCCAUCCAUCCAUCCAUCCAUCCAUCCAUCCAUCCAUCCAUGUGGGCAUGCGUGCAUGCAUCCAUCCACUCAUUGUGCAAAUAUGUGUUUGUCCAAUGGCAGCUAAAGGUUGAGGAUAUAGUGACAAGAAUGUGGUCCCUUGAAGAUUUUAUAAUGUAGUUGGGGGUGGGGAUUAUCCUAGUUCUGUCCAGGACAGUUUGGGUGGCUACAACAAAAUGCCACCUGGGUGACUCACAAAAAGAAAUGAUUUUUCUUUCAGGCAUGGAUUCUGGGGAGGCCUGGAUCAUGGUGUAGGCCAGUGCCUUCCUGGUGGAGCACUUCCCUAGCUUCCUGCUGUGCACUGUCUGGAACUCUGACACCAUCUUGGGAGACUGCACUCAGGACUUCAUCUAAACUAAUCAUUUCCCAUACAUGGUGGAGCACUAAAACAAGCCCAGGGAGCAGUGCUGUUGGAUCGAUACGGGGAUUUUCUGAUUAUGUCAUACUGUAACCAUUUUGGUCUCUCUCUCUCACUCCCCUCCCCCCUCUCUCUCUCCUCUCUCUCAGUAAAGCUAUGUUGUUGCUUUUAUUUAUGUCUGUGUUUUGGGGUACUAAGUGCAUAUGGAUGAGUGUACCCUGGCAGACUAGAGAAAGACACUAUUCCCUGGAGCUGGAGUUGUAGGCAGUUGUGAGCUGCCCCAAGUGUCCUUGAGAAGAGCAACUAGAACUCUUAACUUCAAGAGCCAUCUCUCCAGCCUCUUGCUAGCAGGUUCAUUCCAGAUAUAUCAAGUUGACAAUCAAGAAUAGCCACCACAGGAUUCCCCCCGCUUUCUUCUGGCUUCUUUGGGCACAGCAAGCAUGUGAUGCACAGAAAUACAUACAGGUGAAACAUUGGAAGAAGAGGGAGGAGGAGGAGGAGGAGAAUGAAGAAGGAAGAAGAAGAAAGCAGCUUUAGUAGACAAGUUAACCUCCUCAGGUGUUCAUUACAUUGAUGGGAGCUGAGUGGCAAGAUAACUGAACUGUCAGCCCCUAUUGGAAGCUCAUUCUGGCCAGUGCAUAUUGUUGCAUGCUGCUAAGACACUGAUCUGAGCUAACUUCUCAUACACAGAGCUUGUGUGAAAGUUCAACCAAACUUCCUCAUUAUUGUAGAAUAUUAUUUUAAGGUGUGUUACUUUUGUUUAUGCUGUAGAACAUUUGUUUAAAGAUAUAAAGAUGUGUUGCUUUUUUGCUGCAUUUGUUAAACUCUGU
rnacentral:lncRNA from 1 species